UUUUCUUUUUAACCCAAACAAUAAACAAAACACACUCUUUUGGAUUUUGAAGACGAGGGUCUGUAUCUGUUCAAAACUCGAAUUCUAGCCCCUCUACUCUUAUCUUUCUCCAUCUCGCUUAUUACCCUUAUAAAAUCUGCAAUUAAACACAGCCAUGACGCGCGGGCGGCCACAAAUUUUCGUAACCCUAAUUAUUCCUUUUUCCCGCCAAAACAUUCUUUACAUAGAUGCAUAUAUGGGUUUUUGAACUGGAAAUAAUGGCAGGGUGGUCGAUGAUUGCUGGUGACAGGUGCGCCUUAGAUAGCUCCAAAACCCCACAAAAAGAACUCCACCAAGAAGGGUUCUUGGACGGUCUUGACCCGUUUUCACAAUUGUCCCGUCUAACAACAGACUCUGACGCCAAGCUUCGAUGCCAGUUUGAUAACUGUUUGAAAUCUUUAAGGAAAGAGAUCUGUGUCCUAGAUAGUGCUUUUCCUCCAAUGCUUGGAGAUGGACAACCUGUGGAUUUGCUUAAAUUGUUUUUGCUUGUGAGGGAGAAAGGUGGGUAUGAUGUCGUCUCUAAGAAUGGUUUGUGGAGUGUGGUGGCUCAAGAGUCUGGGUUGGGCUUAAACAUUGCAUCAUCUGUCAAGCUGGUCUAUGCCAAGUAUUUGGAUACAUUAGAGAAAUGUUUAGAGAGAGUUGUUGAUGAUAAGAAUUCAAAAACCAAAUCGAGUGUUAGUAGCCCGAAUGUGGGCGGGAUUUCAAUGGAAUUAAGAUCUGAGUUUAAGGGGUUGUUGUCCGAUAUACCAGAGUGGAAAUCUGUACUGAAUGUGAGUGCUGAGGUUGAUCCAAAUGGAGAUGAGAAAUGCAUUGUUGAUGAUGAAGAAUCUGUGCAUAUAGGUACUGGAAAGAGUGGUGUUGAUUUUGUGGAUGUUGGGAAAUUAGGCUAUAAUGUUGCUAAGAGCUCUGCUAUUGAUUCUUUUUCUGAUGGGGACAAGAAGUGCAAAGAUGAUCAGGAAAACCUAAGGUCCAAUUUAACAAGCCUGAAUGCAUUUGAUGAGGAUGAGGUGAAGAGUAUGGUGGUGGAAAUAGAGGAUGACAAGAAAUGUGAAAAUGGCGAUGAAAAUGAUGUUAUUGUAUUAGAUUCAGAUGCUGUUAAAGACUCAUUUUCUUGCCUUAAGAGGAAAAGGAAGUCUGUAUGUAGAGUGCUAAACUGGAUUACUGGGGUUGCAAGGAAUCCAUGUGAUCCUCUAGUUGAUUCAUUACCAGAGAGUUCAAAAUGGGGGUCUUAUGGGAAUGAAGAAUUGUGGAAGCAGGUUUUGUUGGCUCGGGAAGCAUUAUUUCUGAAAGGAAAUGUUGAUUCAGGUGCUGAACAGAAAAAUCGGAAGAUGCACCCAUGCAUGUAUGAUGAUCCUGUUGGAUCGGCUUACAAUUUCAGAGAGAGGUUAAAAUGUACCAAGAAGCUGCUACAUGGGAAAACAGCAUCUCAAGGAGAGGCUUGUUCACAGUUAUCAUCUUCAACCGCUGAAACUGAGUCAGACUCCUGCACAAAAAAGAUUUGUGAUGGUCAUUCGUCGACUAAAUAUUCAGUGAUUGAUAUUCCAGUUGAAAAACCAAUUCCUCUGGGCCCAGAUUUUCAGGCUGAAGUACCAGAAUGGACUGGCAUGGUUUCUCAAAGUGACUCAAAGUGGGUUGGAACCCGAGUUUGGCCACCAGAAAAGAUAGAUAACAGAUUAGUUAUUGAAAGGGAACCCAUUGGUAAGGGAAGGCAAGAUUCAUGUGGGUGCGAAGUGCCAAAAUCUACAGAAUGUGUCAGAUUUCAUAGCACUGAGAAGAGAAUGAGAACGAGGCGUGAAUUGGGGAUAGCUUUCCUUCAUUGGAAGUUUGAUAAGAUGGGGGAAGAUGUUAAACUUUCCUGGACAGAAGAAGAAGAGAAAAAGUUCAAGGCCAUAGUGCGGUUAAAUCCUCCAUCUCUUGAUAAGUGUUUCUGGGAUGAGAUGUUCAAAUUCUUUCCCACCAGGAGAAGAGAAGACCUGGUGAGUUACUACUUCAAUGUAUUUCUUUUGCAGCGCAGAGCACACCAGAAUAGAUUUACUCCAAAUAACAUUGACAGCGAUGAUGAUGAAUCAGAAUGUGGAUUAAUAGCUAAUAGUUCUGGGCAUGAAGCACCCAAAUCACCAGGCAGCCUCUUAUAUUCUGCAAAGAAGCCUCGUAAAAAUGCUAGAUGAUGCCUGUUUAUUGGUGGAAGUGAAUUGCCUUACUAAGAUAUAUAAAAUUUUGGCUGUUUUUUCCUCCUACGGUUUUGAUAUUUGGCAAUUUUCCAUGGCUGUCUUCGUACGACACCAAAAAAUUUUUUGCUGCCUGUGAAAGCUUAAGCCAUGUUAUUAACAUUCUGCACUUAAUGGUAAUUCAGUGGAGAGCAUCGAUGAUAGAUAUAUUUUGGCUGCAGCAGCAAGCAGGCUCAAGCUUAUGGCUCUUAGCAUGCUUUUGUUAUUUGCUUUCAGUUUCUGAGACAUACUUCCUGAUGAUUCAUAUAUGAUAUAUGCCUACUUCACGUGCAGGGAAGGUAAGAUUAAUGAUCCCGAGGAAUUGGUACAUGAUUAAGGAGGAUGGGUUCUUCACGAAUGUGGUGACUUUAAUUAUAGAAUGAGCUUUUUAUGGCUCAGGAACGAUGUUUUGGAGCUUUUGAUGUGAAGAUGAAUCUCUUUAAGAAAUGAUUUGAGGAAGCUAAGAUUAGGAAUGGAGGCCAGACGACUAUUUUCAAGUACCCAACUUGCUCCGGCCAUUUAUUACUGUGGGUUUCAAGUAGUCAUAUACUACUUUGCGAUGGUGAUAUGGGUAGUAAGAUCAUCUAUGACGGUUUCGUGUUGGGUACUAGUUUUGGUCUAGGGUCUAGGGUACUAGUUUAGGUCCAAGGAUGAAAGUAGUACAUGUAUUUUAGGGUACUUGUUUGGCUCUAAUCCGCUGUAGUUAUAAAUGAGUUUGGGACGAGUAUGAGACAUAAAGUUAUUAUUCAUAAUGGUUAUGGGUAAGGUACGAAUAUAGAUAUUUGGAUACUCACUGCCCGCUAUCUUCUAUAUUAAAUGAGUUUGAUAGUGGAUAUCUAUGGGUACCUUAUUCAUUAUUAGCGAAAAAAAAAAUGUAUUUUGAAUAA